rnacentral:pre_miRNA from 1 species
ACAACGUUUGGACCGUUGGUCUACCGAGCAAUAUCACCCGCUCGGGAAAGAUCUUCCCUUUGUCGU